rnacentral:lncRNA from 1 species
GGAUUUCUCCAAAUUCUGCUUCCCUUUGGACCAAAACAUCCACAUUAAAGACAUUUCCACUCUUGGCUUUAAAUACCCAACAGGAGACACAGUGUCCCCAACACUUACUUAGAAAUGUCUUCAGCCAAAUAUUCCUGCUUCAUCCCUCCCACGUCUACCUUCCGCAGAACCGUGGUACCUAAACACAGCUCACCCAAGCCUGUUGCUCACACAUCUACCUCCCACCAAACUCUAGGACUUAAACACAGCUCGUCCCCAAUGUGGCAAUAACAAGCUGUCAGUUUUCAGGACCUGCCUCUCAUUUCCAUUUAAGAAACCAUCAGAAUAGCUCUAGCUGUUAAGUUUAGAUCAAUAUUCUCUGCAGGGUCAAGAACUGGGCUCUCACUACAGCCACCACAAUCACUUCAAGCAUUCUAGGGCCAUAUAGGUACUCCCUAGCAGUGCCAGAGACUCUCUCACCCUCUACCUACUGAGCUGUAUAGUAAAACUGUCUGUAAAUCACCAGGACUAUGGUAUUUUAUUACAGCAGCCAACACAAAUGAAGACAUAAAACUGGUACUUGAUGCUGCUGUGAGAAAUGCCCAUAAGAACAGACAGCAGGCAUGGACUGAUCACUGUUCUGUAGACUCUGAUGUAAACAUGAUGCAAACAUGAAAGAUGAAGAUGGAUUGGUGUAUGGUGAGCACUCACUUUCUGAUUCCUGCCAUGUGAAAUAGGCACAAACGUUUUCUUACCAAAUGGCUCUAACCUGUCCUUUGCCCUCAGGACACAAUCAGUGCACAAAGAUCCCACCUUCCAAUACUACACAAGUAGGAUUAGUUUUCUUUUCUUCUUUCUUUCAACUUUUUAUCUAUCCUUUGUGAAUCUUACACCACGUAUCCCAACCCCACUCACCUCCCUGUCCCUCCAUAUUGACCCUCUGCCCUUGCAACCUCCCCCCAAAGAAAACAAAUGAACAAACAAAUAAAUAAACAU